rnacentral:rRNA from 1 species
UACGUAGGGAGCAAGCGUUGUCCGGAAUCAUUGGGCGUAAAGCGCGCGUAGGUGGCCCCAUAAGUCCGCUGUGAAAGUCAAAGGCUCAACCUUUGAAAGCCGGUGGAUACUGUGGGACUAGAGUACGGAAGAGGCGAGUGGAAUUCCUGGUGUAGCGGUGAAAUGCGCAGAUAUCAGGAGGAACACCAAUGGCGUAGGCAGCUCGCUGGGACGGUACUGACGCUGAGGCGCGAAAGCGUGGGGAGCAAACGGG